GGAGUCAAUGCAGUGUGGAUAAGAUCGGGGUGAUGUGGCGUAUCUUCUGGUUCUAGUGAGGACUCUAGCAGCUGCAUUCUGGACUAACUGGAGUUUGUUUAUGCUCCUACUGGAACAUCCAGACAGUAAGGCAUUACAGUAAUCUAGUCUAGAGGUGACGAAAGCAUGAACUAAUAUUUCUGCAUCAUGUAGUGACAAUAUGUUUCUUAUCUUAGAAAUAUUUCUGAGAUGAAAGAAGACUAUCCUAGUAAUAUUAUCUACAUGAGCAUCAGAUGAUAGACUGGAGUCAAUAAUCACUCCAAGGUCUUUAACUGCUGCACAUGAUGAAACAGAAAGAACAUCCAGAGUAACCAUGUGAUCAGAAAGAUUUCUUCUAGCUACACGUGCGCCUAGUGCGAGUUCUUCUGUCUGAUCAGAAUUAAGGAAAAGGAAGUUAAUAAUCAUCCAACGUCUAAUGUCCUUUACACAAUCCUCAACUUUAUUAAGCUGCUGUCUGUCCUCUGGCUUCGCUGAAACAUGCAGCUGUGCAUCCAGACGGUCCGUGGCCAGUUUGUGAUAAAAGAGUUUUAAUAUCUUGAUAAACGCAAAUGAAAUAAAUCCAGAGUGAAUUUCCACACACACCACACAAUUCCUUCUGUUAGACGAGGUCUGAUAUUCCAUUUAGACGUUUAUUUACUUGGCUUGUCGGAGCCAGAGGUUUUUAUUUGAACUUGGUGCUCUUCAGUCUGCAGUAAAUCAGGUCUGAUCUGUGGUUUAGAUCAGAUAUGAACACAAUGUGCAAUUUAAUCUUAAAGUUCGGUCACAUGUUGGGUCUUUUAGAUGUUUUGUGUCGCUGUUCCAGAUAAAAGAUGGAAAGAUCUUGUGGAAGUUAUUUUACUGCAUGAGUACAACAAAAACAUAUGAGAAAUGAUGACGGGCAAGACGGAGCUGGUGAUUUCAUUUAAUCCCAGAUUAGAGCAGACUAAGAGCAAACCUGACAGAUCGUCUGACAGAGCUCAUCUUCACAGACAGUUUGUGAACACUGGAUUUGUUUUCCUCAAAUCUGAAACCACAGACGCAGACGCAGACACAGACGCAGACGCAGACUCGCAAAUGGCAUUGUGUAUUUCAGAGUUAUUUUCUCUGAUAUGCUUCAGAUUCCUCACAACAAACAAUAUUUCUGUCAUUCCUGUGGUCUGAGAUCUGCCAUGGAGAGAGAGAAAGAGAGAGGGGGGGGGGGAGAAAGAUGGGGGAAGAUAGGAGGGGAGAGAGGAAAGAGAGAAAGGGAGAGAGAGAGAGAGAGAGAGGAAAAGAGAGAGAGAGAGAGAGAGAGAGAGAGAAACAGAGAGAGAGAGAGGGAGGGAAGAGCAAGAGAGAGAGCUCUUGCAAAAGAGCUUGAAAAUGCAAGUGGAAAUAUUUCUUCCUGGGUUAUUUUUCAUCCCAUUUUUGCUCCUCAGUUAAAAGCAUGUUUGAAUCCUGGCCAGAAACAUGUGAAAGAGUGAGUUAUUAUAGAGUUAUUAUAGAGUUAUUAUAGAGAGUUAUUAUAGAGUUAUUAUAGAGUUAUUAUACAUUAUUAUAGAGUUAUUAUAGAG
ensembl:lncRNA